rnacentral:rRNA from 1 species
UGGGGAAUUUUGGACAAUGGGCGAAAGCCUGAUCCAGCAAUGCCGCGUGUGUGAAGAAGGCCUUCGGGUUGUAAAGCACUUUUGUCCGGAAAGAAAUCCUUGGCUCUAAUACAGUCGGGGGAUGACGGUACCGGAAGAAUAAGCACCGGCUAACUACGUGCCAGCAGCCGCGGUAAUACGUAGGGUGCAAGCGUUAAUCGGAAUUACUGGGCGUAAAGCGUGCGCAGGCGGUUUGCUAAGACCGAUGUGAAAUCCCCGGGCUCAACCUGGGAACUGCAUUGGUGACUGGCAGGCUAGAGUAUGGCAGAGGGGGGUAGAAUUCCACGUGUAGCAGUGAAAUGCGUAGAGAUGUGGAGGAAUACCGAUGGCGAAGGCAGCCCCCUGGGCCAAUACUGACGCUCAUGCACGAAAGCGUGGGGAGCAAACAGGAUUAGAUACCCUGGUAGUCCACGCCCUAAACGAUGUCAACUAGUUGUUGGGGAUUCAUUUCCUUAGUAAUGUAGCUAACGCGUGAAGUUGACCGCCUGGGGAGUACGGUCGCAAGAUUAAAACUCAAAGGAAUUGACGGGGUCAUAGCUG